AUCCUGGUGAAAUAGGACAAAAGGGUGUGUGAAUGCAGUAAAAUGCCGGAAAUACUAUGACUACAACACAAAACUAAAGGUAAAAAGUGAUGCAAUUUCGGACUCAUCACGCCAAUCACUUGAAUAAUGUAAUACCACGAUAUUAGUCUUUAGUUCUCCGCAUCAUGCGGACAUUUGUCUAAGCCUCCACCUUUAUUUAAUAAAAGUGGAAAAUAUUUCAUUUUAUUUCAAAAUAACUUUUUAAGGGAUUAUUUCAAAAUAACUUGCAGCGAAUGAUCACUGCAAUCAAAUAGAGUUUUGUCUCGCACUCGGAUCAAUCGGACCACCAACGCAAACUACACGAAUUGGACCGGGGCAUCUUGAGCCCACAGGCCUUCUACAGAGAAAUGGUCAAUUAACUAGUUACCCACACCGCUUCCGUUUCUCUCUUUCGGCCCAACCCUGUCUCACCAAAUCACUUUGUAUGUCACGAGUUUUGUUUUAUAAAAAAUUAAACUGUUUUUAUGGAGCCAACUAAUCACUACUGGACGAUCUAAAAAAACUGAUCACUACUGUUUGAACAAUGUUUAAAUGAUUCAGCAGCAGCAGCAGCAUCCCCAUAUUGUGUCGCCUUUAUUUUCACUUCUAAACUAUAUUAACUUCUCAUGCGGCACGAUCAUUUUUGGCUUCGAGAGAACAUGCCAAACUGAGAAGGGUGCGAUAUUGCUUGCUCCGUAGAGACAAUGAUCGGAUCGGAUAAAAAAGGAGAGACAUGCACGAGAGAAUAAAGUGACCAUGGAAUACGUAGAGUAACAUGUAGAACACACUCCACAAGCUUCAUUUUGUAGGCAUAAGCAUAUAUUCUCCUAUAUAUUCGUUAGUGUAGCUCCUCUGUAUAUGUUCAGAUCGGGGGCAUCUAAAUGUAACUAGCUAGGUAUGUGGUGCUGCUCCAUAAAUAUGUGCGGGCCUAAUAGAUAGCUCUCAGCAAAAAAGACAAAUUUGAGGUUUGUAAAAAAGUUUACUGUUCGUGUACUGUUCUGGCUAAAUUUGCCUUUUUUGGUGAGAGUUACUUGGAUGUCCAUAUGAUGUGAAAUUUGGAGUGUAUCUCACGCACCAAAUUAUCUACCAUACAAAAAAAUUGAACUUUUUUGAAUUUGUCUGAAUUUUUUGAGAAUUUUUUUGAACCGGGUGCAGAUGAGUCUGGACUUAGAAAUAGAUAUUCGACAAUGUUGGUAUCUUUACUGAUCAAUAAAGCCACCAUGAAAGUUUUGAAAAAACAGACGAGCUGCUCUGCUGGUCUUUAUUUUUAGAAGGUUUACUUGAACCCCCGGUAGGUAACAGUUGCAUAGCUGCUUUCACCAUCGUGAUAGCUGGCCCUCCCCACCAAUUCAUCUUUUAUCAUCACGUGUAGAGCUCAAACAGCAAGCAAAUGUAUACACAUGGCAUUGCCGCAUUCCAAAAAAUAUCAGGAUCAAGUUGAACAUGAACUGGUGGCUAGCUUGUGAGGUUGUCCUUGGCAUCCUUCACUCCAUAACCUGAUAUAUUAUAGUCACCGUGUUUGGCUGCUAAGAAUGACGCUCAAAAUCAAAGAACAAGAAUUGAAAUUUGGUAACGAGGCUGCUUGGUUGCAAUUAAAUCUAGAACUGCAGAUUCUAGUGCCGAUUCUAGGAGACAAAAUAGAACUAGAGGCAAUUCUUACAUGUUAGGUUGAUCUCUCUCCCGUUCGAACCCAACGGGUCGAACGGGCCCCUGACUCGCGCCCUGAUCGGGGGCGCCCAACCAAACCAUGGUUGGUGGGCCCCUAUGACCCGCGCUAUAUAAACAGAGGUGGGGGCCGGGGCACGACUUAUGAGGUUAAUCGCUGCCACAAUCCUCACCUACAAUCCCUACCGAUCUAGGGUUAGCGUGGUGCUCACGGGAAGCACACCACCGCCGCCAUCUCUCCGCCAUCACCGGCCCCUACUUCACCAUGGCCGGCGCUGGAUCGAGUUCAUCUGCACCAGCAGAAGGAGGCUUUCACUUGAUGAGUUGCCUAAAAGAUGUUCCGACACUCAGAGGUGACAAUCACACUAAGUGGAGGAAAGCAAGAUGAACUGGCAUUUAUUUGUGCUGAUGUGGACUGGGUUCUGGAUGAACCACAGCCGGUCAGACCUACAGAGGCAGUAAGAGAGACCACUGAUGACGAUGCUGUGUGGACUAAAAAGAGGGGGGAUUAUGCCCCUUUGGAGAUGUCCUACAUCAUAGAAAACCAAAAGUGGGUCAAUGCAAACAAAAAAUGCAUGGCCUUUAUAAAGAAUACAAUUGAGAGCACCAUUGUGGGCUCCAUUGCAGAGUGCACUUCCGCAGGGGAGUUGCUUACAAAGAUAAAGAGCCAGUUCACUAGCUCUUCAAAGAUAUAUGCCACCCAGGUGUUAAAACAACUGGUGACAGAACACUACACAGGUGGUGGAAUAAGAGAGCACACAUCCUCAGGAUGAGUAAUAUGGCAGCAAAGCUAAAGCCCAUGGAUGAGGAUCUGGAGAUCAAACCAAAGCUCUUGGUCCACCUAGUCAUGGCUUCACUGCCAAAGGAGUUUGAAACUUUUGUUGUGAACUACAAUAUGUCACCUGGAACAUGAGACAUUGAAAAGACAAUAGCGAUGUGUGUCCAAGAAGAGGACAGACUAAAAGCCUCACAUGAUGGUACACUCAACUAUGUGAAGGAUCACAAUAAAAAGAACUACAAUCAAAACAACAAAAGUUCUCCUUCAAAGCCAGAAGGAAAAGCUCCCUAUCAGCAUCAGCGUCAGCAACAGCCUUUCCCAGUGGACAAAGACACUUGUCUCCACUGUAAGCAGACCGGGCAUUACAAGAAAGACUGCCCUGUUUGGCUGAAGUCCUUAAUGGCAAAGCAAGGGAUUCCAUUCGACCCAGACUACGCUAAGAAGAGAAAGAGGCAUUGAAGUAGCCAAUGGAAUUCAAGCGGAAGUUGAAGCUUUCGGCGACAUCUCCUUGGAGUUAGCUGAUGGAUUCAAGCUUCUAAUUAGAGAUGUUCUUUAUGUUCCUUCAUGUAAUAGAAACUUAUUUAGCGUUU